GACGAACGCUGGCGGCGUGCUUAACACAUGCAAGUCGAACGGAAAGGCCCUGCUUGCAGGGUGCUCGAGUGGCGAACGGGUGAGUAACACGUGGGUGAUCUGCCCCUUAUUUUGGGAUAAGCCUGGGAAACUGGGUCUAAUACUGGAUAGGACCAUGCUGUAGGGGGUGUGGUGGAAAGAUUAGUUUCGGUAAGGGAUGAGCUCGCGGCCUAUCAGCUUGUUGGUGGGGUAAUGGCCUACCAAGGCGUCGACGGGUAGCCGGCCUGAGAGGGUGGACGGCCACAUUGGGACUGAGAUACGGCCCAGACUCCUACGGGAGGCCGCAGUGGGGAAUAUUGCACAAUGGGCGCAUGCCUGAUGCAGCGACGCCGCGUGGGGGCUGACGGCCUUCGGGUUGUAAACUCCUUUCAGCCAUGACGAAGCCCUUGUGGUGACGGUAGUGGUAGAAGAAGCACCGGCUAACUACGUG
rnacentral:rRNA from 1 species